rnacentral:rRNA from 1 species
CGGACGGGCGAGUAACGCGUGGAUAACCUGCCGUAUACCGGGGGAUAACACUUAGAAAUAGGUGCUAAUACCGCAUAAGCGCACGGCUCCGCAUGGGGCAGUGUGAAAAACUCCGGUGGUAUACGAUGGAUCCGCGUCUGAUUAGCUAGUUGGCGGGGUAACGGCCCACCAAGGCAGCGAUCAGUAGCCGGCCUGAGAGGGUGGACGGCCACAUUGGGACUGAGACACGGCCCAAACUCCUACGGAAGGCAGCAG